UCAAGAUAUGAAAAGACUCAAAUAGAAAAUUUGAAAUUAUUUCAAUUUUAAAAUUUGAAAUAUUCAAAUCAAAUAAAGAAGUUACAAUCAAAUGAUAAGAUUAAGUCAAUGUUUAAAAGUUAUUACUUAUAUUACUUAAUAUAAUUAUUACCUAAGAUAUUUAUGAAGAUACAGAAUAUGUUUGAUAUUUUCAACCAUUUAUUAUUACAAUAAUUUAGAUCCAUAGAACAGGUAAAAUACACAAAAAAGUACUUGAUUUUGAUAUGUAUUCUGUACUUGAUUUUGAUAUGGAUUCUAUAAUCCACCAAUAACUCAACCUGAUAAAAAAAAAGCCCUCGUUAUUUUAGUUAAUUUAUUUGGAAUCAGUAUUCGGAAUCAUUAAUUGAAUUAGUUCUGAACUAGUUCGUUGUGAAACUGAGUGAGUUGCUUAUAUUCCUUCCAAUAAAACAACUUAUGUUUGCGGUAACCUCUAUGAUAUCCGUCAAUUUGUUACUCGUCACUUCAGUUCUUUGCGAACUGCAAUAAAAAAACAAAAAAAAUGUUUUUUUUUGUUUUCAUUUCGGAAUGGGAAUGGAUUGAGAACAGAACUAUCUAGUUGCAACUCUUCAAUUCCAUAAGAAACCGCACGAAAAGCCAUUACAUUCUUAAAGCUAACACCGCCCCACACCACACUACAGAUAAUUAUUAUUGAACGUUCAAAUAGCAAUAGGAAUUUGAAUUCUAUUUUAAAAAGUGUCCUCAAGAUAUUGCAUUGAAUUGCCUCCUUCAAUCUCGACGAUUGAAGAUGGAU
rnacentral:misc_RNA from 1 species